UACGGGGAGAAAAAUGAGCCGCGUGCAGCAGGGGCCGCCUCGGUCCCCUGCCUGCUCCGCCCACGGCGAGCGUUCCUGGGGCCUCGGGUUUCCCCCCUUCCGCUGGCUGCUCGGAAUCGCGGGACGGACCCACCUGGCCGCCCUGCCUCCCUUCCAGUGGGUCCUGGCCUUCGAGAUCUUCAUCCCCCUGGUGCUGUUCUUUAUCCUGCUGGGGCUGCGGCAGAAGAAGCCCACCAUCUCCGUGAAGGAAGCCUUCUACACAGCGGCGCCCCUGACGUCUGCCGGCAUCCUGCCUGUCAUGCAAUCGCUGUGCCCGGACGGCCAGCGGGACGAGUUCGGCUUCCUGCAGUACGCCAACUCCACGUGAGUGCCCACCCGCCCCUCGGAGCACCCACCCCUCCCCAGCCCAUCCAGUGAGUGACAUCCGCCAUGGUGCAGGGUCACGCAGCUGCUUGAGCGCCUGGACCGCGUGGUAGAGGAAGGCAACCUGUUCGACCCAGCGCGGCCCAGCCUGGGCUCAGAGCUCGAGGCCCUGCGCCAGCAUCUGGAGGCCCUCAGUGCGGGCCCGGGCACCUCGGGGAGCCACCUGGACAGAUCCACAGUGUCUUCCUUCUCUCUGGACUCGGUGGCCAGAAACCCGCAGGAGCUCUGGCGUUUCCUGACGCAAAACUUGUCGCUGCCCAAUAGCACGGCCCAAGCCCUCUUGGCCGCCCGUGUGGACCUGCCCGAGGUCUACCACCUGCUCUUUGGUCCCUCAUCUGCCCUGGAUUCACAGUCUGGCCUCCACAAGGGUCAGGAGCCCUGGAGCCGCCUAGGGGGCAAUCCCCUGUUCCGAAUGGAGGUGAGGGCAUCCAUGUGUGGGAUGGGCCUGGAGUGCUGCCUGCCUCUGGGGGUGCUUCUGCUCCGUGGGUGAGGAAAGGGCCCCUUUGGUGACUUGGAGCUCCUCCUGGG
rnacentral:sRNA from 1 species